GACAGAGGAGGAAAGCGUAUUUCGGAAUCAUUGGUCUUAAAGCGCGCGUAGGCGGCCUUGUAAGUGUGUUGUGAAACCCCACGGCUCACCCGUGGAACUGCAGGGCAAACUGCAAGACUUGAGGUCGGUAGUGGCGCCUGGAACUCUAGGUGGACCGGUGAAAUGCGUAGAUAUCUAGGGGAACGCCGGAGGCGAAAGCGGGGCGCUGGGCCGAUUCUGACGCUGAUGCGCGAAAGCGUGGGGAGCAAACAGG
rnacentral:rRNA from 1 species